AGCUCAGCCAGGCUGUGCUUUCACACUGUGCCAUCUUUGGCAGCACAGACAGGCGUGGACACCCUCAGCUUCUCCCCUCUGCCUCACACUGGGCCUCAGCUGCCUCCUGUGCUGCCCACCUGCUUUUGUCCAGCACUGCCAUGACGCCUGAGCUGGGUCAAACCCCAAGGAUUCUUUGCUGUCUCUUUUCCCAUUAAAACACGGAGAAGGACAAGAAGAAGGAGAAAGAGGAGGAGGUCUCAGGACUCUGGUGGUCAGAGCAUAAAAGCAAAAACAGACACAAAAGAGGGAAAUCUAUUUCCCAUGGAAAAUUAUCAAAAUGUUUGUUUUGCUUUGGGGAGUAGAGAAAUGAGAUGGAAAUGACAGAGGUCUUUGAUAGAAAUGUAAAGGUGGGAAUACCCAUGAAAUCAACAAAGUCAAAAUGCAAAACUGCCUUCCAGAGAACUGCACUCAAGAGUUUAGGAUCUGUUGUUGCUCUAGUCAAAGGUAAAUUUUUGGACUUAAUAAAAAUACAAC